GCUCUCUGUCGUGGAUAUCCUACCAAAUUUGCUUCUUACUUCCAUUACUGUCGCUCACUGCGUUUCGAAGAUGCACCGGACUAUCAGUACCUGAAGAGAUUGUUCAGAGACCUUUUUAUUCGGGAAGGUUUUUAGUUUGAUUAUGUUUUUGACUGGACCAUUCUAAAGUACCAACAAGCACAGAUGACCACUGCUCCACCUCGUGCAAUUGACAUAUUGCUAAGAAUCUGCCACAUUAUGUUUGCUUGAGGUAUUAAUUUAUCCAGGUGUUUAAUGCUGGAGUACAGUUAGAAGAUCCCUAAUCAAUUGCUUCUCAUUUCAGUCGUGUAAGUCACUCUGUAAGUUUUGCUACCAUUUUCUGAACUCCAUUGUUCUUCGUAUGAUUUUAUUUGGUCACAUGCUCCUUCAUGUGCUAUUUUGCUUCUUGCAAGUUCUUGUGAUCUUCUGUUCUGGCUCCUUGAUUUCAUACAUGAACCUUUCUACCCUUGUCCUUGAUACCUGAGCAUUUUCAGGUAGCAAGUGUUGGGCGAAGUACAAAGAUACUGGCCAACAAAAACAUGGAGUUUCCGUGUGUUGCAGUAUCCUACACUUGCCUAACAGUAUUUAUUAACUGUAGUUAGCAUAUAUGUUUAUACUCACCUGUUGCUGCCAAGAAUAAUACUAAAGUUUUCUAAUAAGUUUCA